CAUCGCCCGUCGCUCCUACCGAUUGAAUGGUCCGAUGAAGUGUUCGGAUCGAGGCAACGAGGGCGGUUCAUCGCGAGAAGUCCACUGAACCUUAUCAUUUAGAGGAAGGAGAAGUCGUAACAAGGUUUCCGUAGGUGAACCUGCGGAAG
rnacentral:rRNA from 15 species